UACAGAGGGGGCAAGCGUUGUUCGGAAUUACUGGGCGUAAAGGGCGCGUAGGUGGCCUUCUAAGGUGAACGUGAAAUCCCUGGGCUCAACCCAGGAACUGCGUCCAAGACUGGGAGGCUUGAAUCCGGGAGAGGGAUGCGGAAUUCCAGGUGUAGCGGUGAAAUGCGUAGAUAUCUGGAGGAACACCGGUGGCGAAGGCGGCAUCCUGGACCGGUAUUGACACUGAGGCGCGAAAGCCAGGGGAGCAAACGGG
rnacentral:rRNA from 1 species